CGGGGUAUGGCGCAGCCUGGUAGCGCAUCUGCUUUGGGAGCAGAGGGUCGCAGGUUCAAAUCCUGCUGCCCCGACCA
rnacentral:tRNA from 1 species